GUCGUAUUACGUGCUUUCCUGCUCGAGAACGCGCCAGGCGUCUGGCUGUAGAAGGUAGUAUGGAGAUUCACCGAUAGUCAAGCAGUCUAUCAGUUUUUGACUGCUGGAAUAUAAACGACUGCAACAAUGUACCGUAAAUCUAUACGGAUGUUCUUCGACUGCUUGUCGAAGUCUUUUUUUUUUUUUUUUUUUUUUUGCCCCAGCCGGUAGGUCUCUAGACAUUACAGAGAACCCCGAACAACCCAAACUGUUAAUCUUCAAUACCCUUUUGUACUUACGAUCUUGUAUCUACUGACUGUCCUAUUAGAUUAAUCCAAUAAAUUUCAUUCACUGUGCAUACUCAAUCCUAUAGACACCCUUUUAAUCCUUCAAUCGCAGACGUAACUCGAUUUUACAAAACAGUCAAGAGUAUUCAAACCCACUUCAUUUAAAAAUCCCAAUUCACCAUUACAACACUGACUUCAGCAGCGAUUGCCUCAGUCUUUUCAAAACUCUACGCAGAAGAAAAAUCCAAAUUCUAUGUCUUUCUUUCCCCGACCCGAAGCAUGAAGCUCCUCUCUCUAAUUCCCUUGAUCUUCAAAACCCUCCAAUAAAAACCGAACUGGUAACCUUGCAAAAGCUUGAAAACUAGCUCCCCCCCCCCCGAUUCCCCGAAAAAAGAAAAAAAACUCCCUCCCUAAAACUAUAUUCUCCCCUAACCUUAUCCUCUGAAUUUCUUCAAUCUUCUGUCUUAGAUCCGGAAUUGGCUCCCACCUCAAGCUUGGAUCCAAAAGUGGCUCUCGUCAUCAAGCUUGGAUCCAAAAUUGGCUCUCGCCGUCACAACUUUCUCCUCCGUUUUUACCUUUAAGAAAUCCAUUUACCGAAAACAACGUUCCCUGAAACGGCACAGAGAACAGGACAACCUGAAACAGAAUCGAACCCCCUAAUUGGGACCACAUUGAGUCGCCCGACAAAUUCAGGUCAUAUAUUGGGAAAGAUGCCCGUAGUAACCUAGAUGUUCCCGUAAUUGGGUCAAAUUGGUCCUCGCGUCAGAUUGGCUAAGACCUGUAGUAGGACCUAGAUUUUCCGUAAUUAGACUGCAUUGGGUUGAUCGACCAAUUCAGGUCUCAUAUUGGGUAAGAGGACCCGGAUUGGAUUAUCGAAAUUGGAUCCAAUUGGCUCCUCGAACCCGUCGUGUGAAUUGGUCCUUCUCUUCCUCCUGACUCCAGUUAUUGGAAUCGAAUGGAGCAUUUCAGUAUGCCCCGGCUGACUGUAACGGAGUGACUGAACCUGACCACUCAGUAUUUGUACUGGAGUUGGUCGAUGCUUCCAAUAUUCGAGGUAACUGAAUAUUAAUAAAAUUCUCCUUUCUUUUUAUUUUCACUGUAUAUUCGUGUUACAACACGACAUCUACCCCCUCUGAACCUGUGCAUCCUCCGGUAUGCACCAAUUUACCCAAUUGCGGUUUGAUUCAGAAUAUAUCUCCUACGUCUUUGUCCAGUUCAUCUUCGUCACCUUCAUUAUCCAAAUCACUUUCAUCUUCUUGCUGCGGAAUCUCUGUACCUUCAUUAAGGUCUUCCAUAUUCAUCUCUGCGUGUCUUCGUUUAAAUAUUUUUACUCGCUUCCUUGCAAUUGGUAUUUUCAAUUUUGUACCAUCUAACUCCCGUAAUGAGUAAGUCGCAUUAUCAUGAACAGUUGUUACCACAUAUGGUCCAAACCAACGUUUUGAAAAUUUCCGCAAAGUACUAUGUUGAUUAUCCAGACUAUUAUCAUAAACAAGUACCCAGUCACCUUCCUUGAUUGCUUUUGAUCUCAAUCGAUGUUGCUUAUCGAAUCGCGCCUUGUUUUGUAACCUUGCUGUUUUUAACCUUUCCAAUGCUAUCUGGACAUCUUCCGUUCUUUGCUCCAAUUGUCGAAUCCUAAUAGCCAGAAGUUCUUCUCUUGUCAAUCCAUCUUCCCAUGGUAGCAUACUCUUAGUAAGUACCUUUUCUUCAAUCGGCAUAAUUGGUUUUUGACCUAUCAUAAGUUCUACUGGCAUAUAUCCUGUCACCGAACUAUGUGUUGUUCGAUCAGCACAUAAUGCAAAUGACAAAAGCCGUGGCCACUCUUUAACCUUCCCAUUACAAGCUUUAACCAAUGCUUUCACAAUCGGCGGGUGACCGCGUUCGCUUUUCGCAUUCCCUUCCGGAUUAUAAGCAGUAGUCAGUGAUAGUUUAACUCUACAUUUUUCAAAGAACUUAUGAGCUUCUUGUGCAUUUAAUUCUCCAAGAUCUGCAGUGAUUUUUCCUACGCACCUGUAACGGCAAAUAACAUCUUCAAGCAAAAACCUACAAAUCCCCUCUGUAGAUUUUGUCCUCAAUGCUCUUCCUUCUACUUGAUUUGAUAAAUCUUCACGAGCUAAAACCAAAUAUCUCAUCUGCCAUAACCCAACCGGCAUAAUAACCAAAUCAACAACCCAUUUAAAAUGAAUAGCUAGAGGAUACGUAGGAUGAAGACCAUCUCGAUGUUGGAUAUUAGAAUACGAUUGACAGAUUUCACAUGACUCUACAAAUGAGAGCACAUCUCGAUACAUAUUUUUCCACCAAUAUCGUUCCUUGAGUUUAGCAAAAGUAGCCCAGAUUCCUCUAUGCCCUACCCAUAAACUAUCAUAAAACUCCUUUAAUAAUUUUAGUUUUUCUUCCCUUUUUCCUAUAACUCGCCGUGGCAUCCCAAUUCCUUUCUUCAGUCUCUUCCAUAAGAAUCCAUCUUGAAGUAAAAAUCCAUAUGCUUUUUUUCUUAUUUGUUUGAAUUUUUUUGUAGACCAAUUCCCCUGCUUAGUCAAGUUAUUCAAGUAAUGACUAAUAUCCAAUAAUUCUCCUUCAUAAGAUUCUUCAAGAAAUAACUUGUAUUCUCUUUUGAGAUUUGAUAUUGAAUAGAAUUUCAAUCCGACGUCAUCAAUGUCUUCAACCAUUUCGUCCUCCCUCUCGUAUCUUGCUCGAGAUAGCAUGUCUGCUACUAAAUUGUCCUUUCUAGUAAUAUGCUUAAAUUCUGGAUUUAGUGACUUAAUAUAAGCAAUCCAUCUCAACAUUGCAAUAUCUGGCGUUGAACAGUUAAUAAUCAUUCCAAGCAAUGGCAAGCAAUCUGUUUCAAUUACUACUACUGCCCCAAUCAAAUAGUCCUUUUCAGCUUUCAUAGCCGAAACGACUCCCCAAAGUUCUCUUUUGACUUGCAAAUAUGCACGCUGACAAAUACUUAAAACUUUAGCCCCAAAUCGAACUGCAAAUCUACUCCCAUUCGAAUCAUCUUGACCCACAGCCCAUCCAACGGCAAUUGGACUAGCGUCUACAGUAAGAAUCACUGGUCUAUUGCACUUAUAAUCAACCUUCUUCAAUAUUGGAGGUGACAUCAAUAAUUUCUUCAAUCUUUGCAUUGCCUGAAUAUGCCUUUCUUUCCAUUCAAAUCGGUAACCCUUGCGUAACAGUUCAUAUAAUGGAUCCGCUAUGUGAGCAAAAUGAGGGAUCCUUAUUCAUCCCAUUCAUCAUAUGCGCAACUGAGUUGGUCGCGCCUUGAGGAAGAGUGCACAUUCUAACCAAUCCAAGCGGUGUCCUCAUCGUUGUCAUAUCUCUACUUCCUUCGGCAAGUUGAAAUUGAUCAUAACCUGAAUACAAAUCACCCAUUGAAUAGAUCGCCCUUCCAGCAAACGCCUCAGCAAUUUCAUCCACAAUAGGUCCAAUUCCUGCAUUCCUGACAGUUACAGCAUUCACCGGCUGCAUAUCUUGAAUAAACCGUAGUGACCCAUUCUUCUUAGGUACCGUAAACCAUCGACUAGAAUACGGCGCAAAUGAAGGUUCUAAUAUUUUCAUCUUUAUCUUUUCUUUCAAUAGUUCCACCAAUUUAGGUAAAUGUGCCCUCGAUACUGGAAUCGGUCUUAGAUUCCAAGGUACAUGCGGUACAGUGAAGAUAACCAUAGGUGUUAUAAUAUUUGGAUCCACACACCCAAUUUCAUGAGAUUCGAAGGCAAACGAUCUACCUUGUUUAGCCAACAUCUUUUUGAAGCAAGUAAUUUCCUCCGGCAAUAAAGAACCAUCAGAACCAAUCUUCAAUUCUUCAAAAGUCUCUUCAGUAAACUGAUGUCCAAUACUCAUUGGAUCUCUUAAACUUGCUUCUUUUGAUGCUUCUCCCAUUUGUUCUUUAGAAUCCUCUGGUAAUGGUCCGGCAACAGGCUUUACCUUCUUAUCUGCCGUUUUAUAUCUCGUCUCUACUGUGACUUCUGGUGCUUGAAAAGAUUCAAGCAUGGUAUAAACCUCUUUCGAAUGAAUCUCAACAAUCUUAUCAUUAUCCCCUAACCCAAUAGUUGUAAUCAAUUCCAAUGAAUCUUCCAGUCCAUUUUCUUCAUAAACACCCAAAAUCCUCUCAUCAUCUUGUAAUGUACCUAUCUUGCGUAACUGUCCUUCAAUAUCAUAUAAUCUUUUUCUUUCUUUUCUUUUAAAAUCAUCAACUUUCUUAUACAUAAUAUUUCCAUUCUCUAAUAUACCAAUAAAACUCGCAUCAAAGGCACCUUCAUCUCGCGAGAGUACCUCCUCUUUUGUACCUCCAUAAUCUCGCUUUACAGUGGUACCUCCCCAAAAUCCUUAAAUCCUUCAACAAUCUUUGGCAAUGGUUUCUCCCUCAACCUAUCUCGAUUCCGUUCAUGGUUAGGAGGUACAGUUAGAAAUUGUACAACUUUCCUUCCAUCUUCGCUCCGUACCCUUGCAUAAGCAGAACCAUCGUCAAGUACCUUUGUUUCUAUCUGUGUUGCCGUGAUAUAAGGUUGUCCUAAAAUCAACGGAUAAGACGUUGUAUCUUCAACAAAGAAAUGUUGCUCCAUCGUAACAUCUCCAAUCCGAACUUUGACAUCUGGACAAGCUCCAUAUAAUUCGCCCCAUGUAUUAUUAGCUGCUCGAAUUGCCCAUCCAUAUUCCAUAUCAAUUGGCCAUUUUUGCUUCUUAUAAAGAUCUUUAGACAUGAGAUUUAUUUCAGAACCAUGGUCCACCAAAGCAACUAUUGGUUCUUCUAUAUCUCCUACCUUCACCAAUACCUCAAUAGUUGCCCUUGCCCAAUGCUUCCGAAUAUAAUGGCUCAAAGUUUCCAUUCCCUUGUCACUAGAAUCUUCGAAACAUACUCGCUGAUUAUACCCAUUUUUUUCAUUUGUUGGUUGCUUGUAACCAAUAUCAACCUCUUCUUCAUCUCUACAUAUUCUUGCAUCAAUAGCAUGACUCAUUCCAGUUUCGCUAAUUAAUUGCCUCUUUCGCUUAAUGCUGUCAAUGAUAACAUCAUGAAACUCUUUCUUUGCAAUUUCCAAGACUUCUUUCAAUGUGAAUUCCACCUUAGCGUUUAAUAUACGUUCUUCCAACACCCCUUUCAAAUUUGUUGCCGCUUCAAUGUCAGAAAGUAGCUUAUAAGCAAUUGAUUUGCCCUUAUCUUUUGUCUCCAUUGUUUUUUCUUCCAAUGAUGCUGAGGUAUCCUUUACAGGCAAUUCUUGUGAAGCUGCCUCCCGAGCCUUGUCUCGUCGAGUUUGCCUCUUAAAAGAAUUUCCUUCUCUAGUAUCAUCAAAAUUUCCUCGUCAUUUUUCUUCCAUCAAAGCUUCAUGUUGGUUCUUAGCAAUAUAUGCAUGAACUGAAAGAGACUCAACAGGAUCCUCCCAACCUGUUCUUCCUCGUAUUGUAGCUGCAGUUCUCAAUAACGCUUCUCGAGGUAAUUUCCUUUCUUGCAUUGUAGAAACGGCAGAAGCCCAAAACUCACUAGUUUCUGUACUUCCACCAAUUUCAUCAUCUAUUCUAGCACCAUAACUUGCACUUUCUCGUGUUGUUGUUUCAUGCUCUUUUAGGUAAUCUUGAACCAAUGCUCUCAUUCCUCCCUUGCCAAAAUUGGUUUGAAGAAGAUCCUCCCUAUCUUUCAAUGCUAUCUUCCCAUCUUUUCAGCAAAUAAUUCCGUGCCGUAUCAUAUUAUUAAAUUCAUUGCAAUCUUUUCUAGUGUGUGAAGCAUCAUCACACCAAAUGCAUCUUUGUACAUAUCCUUGUUUUGAAACAUUCUUCGAAUUGUUUGUAGAAGUAUUCUCUUCAAGUCUUGCCAAUUUGAUUUGAAGAUCUCGCAUUCCUCGUAUAAUUUCUUCCAUACCCAUAUCUGCUUUCUUUCACAAGGAUGUCAAAGGUUGAACUGUAGGCAUUGUCGGUGGUGUUGUACGUACUAGAGCUUUGGGUGCUUGUACUGUUUUUGGAAUAUUGCUCCUAUCCUUGCUCCUUUCUCUUUUUGUAAGAAACCUCACCGCAUCUUCAACGUUCUUCCACUUCGUUGUCAAUCCUUCAUCUUCUUCUUUGUCUUCAAGAAGGGAUUCUAAUUUCUCUUGCAAUUCUCCAUCAGCAACUUGAAGAAAUAGAUCAACUUUAUUCGGCUCCAAUGUCAAUUUUUCUACCUUCGAUAAUUGAGAGUACUGCCUCUCAAAUUCCCUUAGUAGCUCUGUUGCUUGUAAAUUCUUAUUGGGCCGUUCAAUCCAUCCCAGAAACAGCUUCUUAGUAACGUGAUCAACAUCUUCCAAGAAAUAUUCGUCUUUCAAUGUAUGUAAAAAAUCCUCCCAUGAAUUCCCACAACGAUCCGUUAUCGAUGUAAUGUGGUCCCUUAUCUCCGGUAUCGUGGCAAGUCCAAAUAGUGCAACCAUUUUCUUCUCUGAAACCCGAUUUAAUUCCAUUUCACGAACAUAACAUCUUAAAUACCUUGAAAUAUUCCUUCCAUCAAAUUGAUCAAUUUUAUUGACCACUGCUUGCAAUGCUUUGGUUGCCAAAGCUUUCUUUCGAUCAUUGCUUUGCUAUUGCUGCAUUGACAAUGAGAAGGCUUGAAACAAACUAGCAAUAGACGGAUCCAUGUGCAUACCUUGUCCUUUAGAAGACUCCCCACCAGAAACUUCUCCCAAAAAUCCUUCAAAAUUUUUAUUUUCGUUUUCCAUAAAAAUAAAGAUAAAAUCAACCGAAAUCCAAUACCUUCCACUUCAAGCUUUCACGUCGGGUUCACCACUUAUGUCGUAUUACGUGCUUUUCUGCUCGAGAACGCGCUGAGCGUCUGGCUGUAGAAGGUAGUAUGGAGAUUCGCCGAUAGUCAAGCAAUCUAUCAGUUUUUGACUACUAGAAUAUAAACGACUGCAACAAUGUACCGUAAAUCUAUACGGAUGCUCUUCGACUGCUUGUCGAAGUUUUUUUUUUGCCCCCGCUGGUAGGUCUCUAGACGUUACAGAGAACCCCGAACAACCCAAACUGUUAAUCUUCAAUACCCUUUUGUACUUACGAUCUUGUAUCUACUGACUGUCCUGUUAGAUGAACCCAAUAAAUUUCAUUCACUCUGCAUACUCAAUCCUAUAGACACCCUUUUAAUCCUUCAAUCACAGACGUAACUUGAUUUUACAAAACAGUCAAGAGUAUUCAAACCCACUUCAUUUAAAAAUCGCGAUUCACCAUUACAACACUGACUUCAGCAGCGAUUGCCUCAGUCUUCCCAAAACUCUACGAAGAAGAAAAAUCCAAAUUCUAUGUCUUUCCUACCCCAACCCGAAGCAUAAAGCUCCUCUCUCUAAUUCCCUUGAUCUUCAAAACCCUCCAAUGAAAACCGAACUGGUAACCUUGCAAAAGCUUGAAAACUAGCUCCUCCCCCGAUUCUCCCAAAAAAAAAAAACCUCCUCUUUCAAAACUAUAUCCCCCCUAACCUUAUCCUCUGAAUUUCUUCAAUCUUCCGUCUUAGAUCCGAAAUUGGCUCCCUCCUCAAGCUUGGAUCCGAAAUUGGCUCUCGCCGUCAAGCUUGGAUCCAAAAUUGGCUCUCGCCGUCACAGCUUUCUCCUCCGUUUUUACCUUGAAGACAUCCAUUUACCGAAAACAACGUUCCCAGAAACGGCACAGAGAACAGGACAGCCUGGAACAGAAUCGAACCCCGUAAUCGGAACCACAUUGAGUCGCCCGACCAAUUGAGGUCCUAUAUUGAGAAAGAUGCACGUAGUAAUCUGGAUGUUCCCGUAAUUGGGUCAAAUUGGUCCUCGCAUCAGAUUGGCUAAGACUUGUAGUAAGACCUGGAUUUCCCGUAAUUAGACUGCAUUCGGUUGACCGGCCAAUUCAGGUCUCAUAUUGGAUAAGAGGACCCGGAUUGGAUUAUCGAAAUUGGAUCCAAUUGGCUCCUCGAACCCAUCGUGUGAAUUGGUCCUUCUCAUCCUGCUAACUCCCGUUAUUGGAAUCGAAUGGAGCAUUUCAGUAUGCCCCGGCUGACUGUAACGGAGUGACUGAACCUGACCACUCAGUAUUUGUACUGGAGUUGGUCGAUGCUUCCAAUAUUCAAGGUAACUGAAUAUUAAUAAAAUUCUCCUUUCUUUUUAUUUUCACUGUAUACUCGUGUUACAACACGACAACGGUGACUAGGUUGAAAGUGCCUUCUAGAUAAUGAUGCUAUUCUUAAAAAAAAUCCACAAUUGUAAGAAGUUCUUUGUCAUGGAUCUCAUAAUUGAUUUUUGCUGUAGAGAAUUUUCUUGAAUGAAAUGCUACUGGAUGAAGUUUAUCAUCUUUUCCCAUUUGUGACAAAAUUACACUUAGAGCAAAGUCUCAUGCAUCUGUUCCCAUAAAGAACGCUUUGGAAAAAUCAACACGAUACAAGAUUGGUGCAAAAACAAAUGUUGUUUUCAAAGUUUCAAAAGCAUUUUCCGCUUCUUUAUUCCAGUGGAGUUUGUUCCUAGGAUUGCUCAAUUGACCUUCAAGAAGGAGCACAACCGUCGUUUGGACCAAUCUACAGUUUAUCACAAAAUGAGUUGACUGAACUCAAGGAGUAUAUUGAAGAAAAUCUAGCCAAGAAUUUCAUAGGCCAUCCUAAAUCUCCGGCAGGAGCUUUAAUUCUAUUUGUAAAGAAAAAAGAUGGAUCAUUGUAGAUGUGUGUUGAUUAUCGAGGACUCAACAAGAUUACCAUCAAGAACAGGUAUCCACUACCUUUAAUAUCUAGACUUCUUGAUCAAUUGAAUCAAGCUAAAAUCUAUACAAAAAUAGAUCUUCGAGGAGCAUACAAUCUAGUAUGCAUCAAAAAAGGAGAUGAAUGGAAGACUACGUUUCGAAGUAGGUAUGGAUAUUUUGAAUACAACGUCAUGCCCUCUGGACUUAAAAAUGCACCAGUAGCUUUUUAACAUCUAAUAAAUGAUGUUUUUUGAGAGUUUUUGGACGAUUUUGUGGUCUAUUAUCUAAACGACAUCUUGAUCUAUUUUAAGAAUCUAAAAGAACAUAAACUUCAUGUUCGUCAUGUGUUACAAAAAUUAAGAGAUGCGAGACUCUAUGCCAAGAUAGAAAAGUAUGUAUUUCACACUACUCAAGUUGAUUUCUUAGGUUACAUCAUUUCAAAUGAUGGACUUAUGAUGGAUCUUAAAAAAGUUCAAACUAUUAUAGAUUGGAAGAUUCCAAAAACGAUAAGAGAUGUCCAAUACUUUUUGGAAUUUGCUAAUUACUAUCAGAUCUUCAUCAAAGACUUCUUUCGAGUUGCAGCUCCACUUAUACGUUUGACUUGUAAAGAAAUUCUUCAUAUUGGCUUGGAAUGUCACGUGAAUUCUUUGCACCAUUAGAAACGGAUGUGGUAUAAAUAAUAUAUGGUGUUUCUUUCAUAGCAGCAUGCAAGAAAGCUUUUGCAUCUAUAAACACGGGUUUAAUUGAACUGGACUUAUGACUCUCUACUUGAUUAACUACACUAGUAGUUAUACUUUUAGAGAAAGUAAGAAUUUAGAAAAUCCAAUCUAUUUGAGGAUUUUAUUUUUCUAAUCAUGAUAAAUCUAAAAUGACUGGAUUAGAAGGAGAUCUAAUGAUAUUAAAUACUACAAGGCUAUUAUGACCAUUGAUUAUUACUUCAAUAGGAAGGAUUUUGUGAGUAAUAUCUCCAAAAGACAAUGAACGACCAUCUAUGACUUCUAUAUGAAUAGGUUUAGUUUUCUUUAUUAAAGAUAUGCUAUAUCUUUUAGUAAAUUCUUCAUCUAAGAAACAUGCUGAGGCUCCUAAAUCUAACAAGGCAGAGGCUCUGUAAUAUUUAGGUCCUAAAAUAACAUUUAAUGUAAAACAAGGAGAGGGUUCUUAGGAGAAGAUAGGAACUUUCCUAGAUGUUGUACAAGGUUCCAGCCGCACAGUCCCUAUUGUAGUUGGACAAACUCAUUUUCUGACAUAUUGUCUUCUUUGAUAGCCAUACUCUUCAUUUUGUGGUUGUAUCGUUUCUUUGGACAAUAUUGAGCAGUGUGUUUUGAUUCUCCAAAAUAUAAACAUAAUCCUUCUUGACAACAACGAAUCUUUUCUUGUUCAGUAAGAGGUUUGAAAUGUAUUGCAUUGAUUUACAUAUCUUUUACUUCUAAAGAUAUGUGUUGAGAAGACGUAGGUAUUGCCAUUGAAUUGUAAUAAUGUUGAGGCCUACUUAUGUGACUCUCAGAUUGAAAUUCAAAAAGUCAAUUAUCAUAUUUAAUAGCAAAAUCAAUUGCUUGACUCAAUGUUUAAGGAUCAGAUAAAUUGAGCAUCAAUUUUUUUACGUCAUAUUGUAGUCCAUAAAUGAAUUGGCUAAUGAGUGCAACAUCAUCCCACUUGAUAUCAAUCGUAAGUUAUUAAAAUUAUGAAGCAUAUAUUGUUACAGAUUAAUUUUCUUGUCGCAAGAAAUGAAUCUUAUUUGUUGCAACACGAACUGUAUCAUGUUCUCCAUACAUAGAUCAAAAUUCUACCAACAAAGCUUCUAAAUUAUCCAAUAUUGGAUCUUGACGUUCAAGAAAAGAUGAAAACUAUGAUAAUGCAGAACUGAAAAGUAGUGUUCUAAUAAACGUGACUUGUGAUCUUGGAAUUGCAUAGCUUUAGGGUUGAAGUUCGAUUAUCAAUUGUACUUGAUUGAUGAAUCCUCAAAAUUUUGAUCUUAUACCAUCAAAUUUCUUGGGUAAGGCAAUUUUUGGUUCUCUAGCAUUUGAAUGGUGUUCCACUAUGCAAGAAGGGGCAUGAUUCAAUGUAGAUAUUGAGGCAGCUCUGACCAUCUCUACAUCUCCACUUUUUGUUAUUCUUGUUCCUCUUUUUGUUGGUGAAUUAAGUUGAUGCAUCACAAGGAUUAAUUACCUCAAAUGUUCUUGUAUUUGUGUCAUUGCACUCUUCAAUUCAACAAGCUCUGCCAUAGUAACACCUAAAAAAAAAAAUCUAAUAUUGCUCAAGAAAAAUAAGAGAACGGACUUUAGAACAAAGAAAAUACUAAAAAUAAUAUUAAUUUAAAAGAGGGUAAUCCAAAACUCUUAAUACGCUUAUGUCUUAUAAAAAAAAAGAGAUAAUCAACUCUUAAUCAAGAAAAGACAAAGCUCUGAUAUUGUAAGUAUACUCUUGUCAAUCUGUCAAGGACAAGAACUCGAUGAAAAAGCAAUUCAGACAAGUGAGCCUUCACUCAAAGAAAGAUAAAAAAAUAUAAAUAAAUAAGUAUGUAUAUUGAAAGAGAAACUGAAAUGGCUAUUGCUAAAAGACAAGAAAAGUAGAGACCCUUGAAACUAAACUAGAAGUAAGAAAGAAAUUGACAAGAGUGAAGAAGGCUUCACUCUUGUCUCUAUAUAUACUAUCUAAGUAGGAGCUAUGUGGCGAUGUUCUAUAAGACCUCCAAUAUAUGUUGACUUUGUAGGACACAUGCCUUGACUUACAAGGCAAGUUUUUCUAUGUGUAGGCCACAUUGUUAGCUUGGUCUUCAAGCUAACAACAUAUGUGGCACAUGGCCAACUUGUUGACCACGUUUCUAAUCCAAAAAGUCAAUUAAAGACACCUAUAAAGUCAAAGCAACAUCUAUGAAGCUUCUAGAAAGCUUCCAUAUCAAAUACUAUAGAAUUAAUUUACUUUUAUCUACUUUUACUUACUUCUACCUACUUAUAUAUGUAAUUACUAGUAUACAUGAGUAUGUCUAUGACAUUUUGUUAAAGAUAUUAUUUAUUUAUUUAUUUAUUUAUUUAUAAUUUAAUUAAAAUAAAGUAUUUUUUUGAAAAUAUAUAUAUAUAUAUAUAUAUAUAUAUUCAUUUACAAAAUACAGAUUUGAAUCUAAAAUAUAUAUAAAUAUUGAUAUCUAUAUUUAUUUAUUUAACCACAAAGAGGAUUGAAUUUAAGUUUAAAAUUGAUCUAAAUUAAUAAUAAUUUUAAUAUUAAUAUAUUUUUAUGGAUGUUUAAUUAAUUUUCUAUAUGAUUUCUUAAAUUCAUAUAAAAAUAUUUUUUUAGAGAUGGAUUUAUAAAUGUUUUAGAAAAAUUAAGAUUUUUUUAAUUUAAGGAAAUUAUAUUCUUUAAAUAUUUUGGAUUCUAAGUCUAAAAACAUAUUUUGUUUUAUAAUAUAUUUAAUUAAAUAUUCCUUGUAAUAUUUUUAUAAUUAGAAAUAUAUUCAAAUUUUUAUAAAAUUUUGUUAAAUACAUAUUUUUAUAUAUUUUGAAACAAGAAUUUAAUACAUAUUUUUUAGAACAGUAAAUUAUAUUAACAAUAGCUAAAAACUAAGAAAUUAAUGUUAUUAAUAUAAAUUAUAAUAUAUAAAUCUGAUAUUAUAUUAAAAUUUUAAAUAAUAAAUAAUAUUAUCAAAUUCUAUAAUAGUAUCUUAAAGAUAAUCAUAAUGAAAAUUUAAUAAAAUUUAUCAAUAAAAAGAUCUUAUAAAAAUUUAAAAACCAAAAUAAUAUAAAAAAUAAAGUAGUGAACUAUUAAGAAAUUAACUUCUAUACAUCUUUCAUUGUAGUAAGUUAAUAUACUGAAAUACGAUAUUACAAUGCAAUUAAAAAUGACAAUUUAUUUUUAAUUCAAAUUUUUUAUGCUUCUAAUUUUUAUAAAACUUGAACUAUUUUUAUAUUAGUUGAAAUAUAUGAGUAGUGAAAUUUAACUUAAAAAUAUGUUUUGAUAUAAUAAUAUCAUUAUUUUAUUUUAUUUUAUUUCCAAAGUAAAGUUUUUAUCUCUUAUGCAAUGACCAUCAGCCUUUAUCUUGGUCUUUUAUAAUUAGAUCAAUUAGUAAUACAUGACCAGAUACUCUAAGGUUAAAAAUCCUAUCAAAUCUAUAACAACAAAGAUUUCAAUACAACAUAAGAUCAAGCAUAUUAAAACAAAACUAAGAGUAAUUAAACGUAAUAGAACAUGAAAGAUAUGAUUAAUUAGAAGAGAAUAGAAUCAAAUAGAACCAAAUAGAAUCAAAUAGGAUGGAACAAGAAAACCAAACUUUAUUGAAAGAAAGAGUUUGAAACCAUAAUUGACCAAAUGCCCCGAUUGGCCUCAGUCAAUUCUAUUUAUACUUUUUUUACAUAUCUUGGAACUUUUUAGAAUGUUCAUAGUAGUGGGCCCUAUCAAAAUAAUCACCCUUCUAAAAGAUUUUAGAGAUGGGCCUCAUCAUAUUAACUAUCCUAAGCCUUUCUAAAAGACUCUAUAGUAGAUCCCACAUGCACUACUAUCUUAAUCUCAAUUCUAGAAGCUUUCCAAAUUCAAUUCCAACUACAUAACUUUAUGAGUGAAUAAUACAACCAUCUUAUCCAUGCACUUUUUUAGCUAAUCGUCUUCUAUUAAUACAGAACGUCCUUGUUUUGCUUCCAAUGGUAUUUUCAAAUGGUUUCUUUAUAAUGAAUGAGAUUUUAUGCAGGUUCCUACAUUGCAUCGUGGAUGGAAUAAUCUUUCUAGAGAAUUUUGUAUUGAAAUUGUAGAUGUCCAUUACCACAAUAAAAGUAGCAAUGUUCUAAAAUACUAUCUGCUUCAUAUUCUUGUUAGUCAUUAAUUUCAAUUAAUGGUAGUAGUGGUAGUUGGUAUCAAUUUGAAAAGUACCAUGGUACAAUAUGAAACUCCUUGAGUUGCAAAACAUGGAAGAUUCAAUGGACCCAAAUAUAUGGUAGAAGCUUGAAGCCAUAUGUAAUAACAAAAAUUAUUAUAGAAACGUGAAAAGGUCCAAGCCAUCAAGGUACUAGCUUACGGACUUGGAUUGAUGUAAUAAAUAGAAGGUUGGCAUUAGAGAAUAAUAUCUAGUCAUCUUCUUGAAAGGUCUUAUGUUGUUGAUAAUUAUUAGCAUAUUGCUUCUAUCAAUUUUGAAUAGUAAAAAGAUAGUGUCAUGUUUUUUACAAGUCCAUUAGAAGUUGUUGUAUAAAUUCCUUUGUUAUUGAAUUUUUGGUGUCAAUAGGACAAUAGAGGAUUGUUGGCAUAAUCGGAUGUUGACUAAUAUUAAAGAAAAAUGGUGAAUAAUUGGUACUUACUUGAAUACUAUUAUUAUAGGUAAACUCUAAGAACAUCAAAUAUUUAUUGCAAUUGCUAUGAUAAACUAUCAUAAAUAUCCAUAGCAUAUUUUUUAAGGUUUGAUUUGCAUGCUUAUUUAUCCAUCUGUUUUAGGAUAGAAGGCUAUAGACAUAAUAAGUUGUAUAUCUAAUAGCUUAAAUAAGGCUUGUCAAAAACUCCCUAUGAAGCACAAAUCCUGAUCUGAAAUGAUGACAUAAGAUAAUUCAUGGUAAUAAAGAUAAAAUAAAAAAUAACUCAUACAAGUGCUAAGAUAUCAAUAUUAGAGUACACUACAACCAAGUAAAGUUACUUCAAGAGUCGAUCUACAAAGACAACAAUUGCAGUGUAAUUGUAAGAUAUUUAUAGAAAAUAUGUUAUGACAUCCAUAAUCACAUGCUCUCAACAUGCCAUAGGUAGUAGAAUUGGCUACAAUAGUAUAAAAGAUGCUGCAUUGUAUGCCUUUUUACAUUGGCAUGACUUCCAAGAAUAUACAAAAGCUUGAACAUCAUGAUCCAAACUUAUCCAAAAUUAUAUCCUUAAGAUCCAUUCGAGAGUCUUCUCUUGCCUUAAGUAUCCAAAUAUUAGAAUGUGAUGUCUCUCUUGAUGUAUGCACAUUUAAAAUAUAGCAUUUUUAGAUAUAUAAAUCUACUUCUUGAAAUAGAACAAGCCAUCAAUAAGACUAUAAUCUUGAUAUUAUAUAUUAUUCACCUUUAAUUGAUCGCUAAUUAUCUUAAAAUAAGCAUCUCAAAGUAAAAAUUCCUUCUAUUUUGCCUCUUUAGUUAGGUUUGAAAUGACACUACUAAUGAUAGAAAUUUUUGCCUUGUCUCUUAAUUCGACCCUCAACUUUGAUCUUUGUGAUAAGUUAUUUGGUAUGAUAUAUUGUCAUCCUUGCUAGUAUUCAAGCUGAAUGUCAAAAAGUUGUAACUAUUCUUCUCAACAAUGAUGUCGUGAUUUCAAAUUUUUUAGAUAUAAAUUGUAUAGUAAGGAUUGAUGGUUGAUCCAAACAAUCAUUAGUUUCUCCAAUAGAUAGUGUCGCCACACCUUUACAGCAUGUACAAUUGUUAAUUGUUCUUAAUUACAUAUAGAGUAAUUAUGCUCUGUCCUUUUAAACUUGUAUGAUUCAUAUGCCACAAAUUGAAGGCCCCUACCAAAGUCUUAUUGAGGGACCACUCUAAUAGUAAAGUCAUAAGUAUCAAUGUCAAGUCUAUAGGGAAGGUUGGAAUUAUAUGGUUGCAAUAUUGUAGCAGUAAUGAGUGUCUUCUUCAAUCUAACAAAUGCACUUUUCUACUCCACUUUCCAUUCAAAUGAGGCACUCUUCUCCAUAGGCUUCUUAAUGAGGCAGUAAUAUGUACAAAUUGCCAAAUAAAAUGGUAAUAAUAUCAUGCAAGGCCUAAGAAUGAUCAAACUUCAGAAGCAUCUUUGGAUGUUGGCCAAUUCUCUAUUACUUUUGCUCUAUCCUAUUCUAUGUGUAUACUUUUGGAGAGCACCAUAUACUCCAAAAAGGUGACUAAUUCUAUUUUAAGAGGGUACUUCAAUCAGAUGAUACACCAUUAGGUAAGUCGCUUGGAAAGAUAUCCCAAUAUUUACGUAUGAGUUGCUCUAUUCUUUCUCCUCUUUUGAUUGUCUUUCUUACCAUUGAAAUAAGAUUUGGAACCACCACAUAUACCAAUUAUUUAUACUAUAUUUGCUUCUUCAUUAAGGUCACUUCUAUGAGUAAGCUCUUAGCUACAAAUCAUUUUGAUAUCCUACUUGACACAAGGGCACAAAGAAUCACCAUGUAUCCUCUAUCUUUAAAAGAGAUUGUCUUUGUUAACUAAUUGACUUGUUUAUUCUCUAAGUCUAGCCAUAGCAUACCUAAGAUAAUAUUAUAUUUAAGCUUUGUAAUUCUAAAUUUCUUCCACAAGGCAUAGAUAUCACUUAGCUUUAGAUUUUUUUUUUUACUUAUCUCACUCGAUACGUUCUUUUAAUCAUCCAUUGGAUAUGUACUUCUUUCUUUAAUCAUCUUUAUUUUAAUCCUAAGUUAAUUAGCAAUUGCUGUUGAAAUAUAAUUUUUUGUAGAGCCACAAUCUACAAGCAUUCGACAUAGUUGUCUUUGAUAUUGACCCAUUAAAAUAUCAGCCAAUCCUUUUGAUAAUUGUCCAAGGCUAUGCCAUUUUUCUUUGAAAAACAACAACUAUUCCCAGUAUUGGCCUUUAGUACCUUUACUAGAGAGCCUUAUUUUCCUACUCCAUUCUUUUAUUAACUUAGUAGCCCUCGAGAAUGUGAAUCUGUCAUUAUUUGUUGUUACUUAAACUUUCACGUUGUAGACAAUCUUUGAUUUGAUGGUCUAGAUCUUGACAAUAAAAGUACAAUUCCUUUUAUACUAAUAAUUUUCAUCUUUGUAGUGUCAACGGUCCUUAUAGAGUAUUAAUCUCUAUUGACAUUGGUUUUUGUAUCCUAGUAUUGGCUAGAAGCAUAGGAUUCCAUACUAAAAGUCAUAUUCUACAAUUUUUGAUUCUAUGGCAUUAAUCCUCUCUACAAUCCUAAUUCCCUCCUCAAAUAUUUGUGGAUCCUUUAAUUUCAUUUUUUAAUGGAUUAAAAGUUUUAAUCCUUAUACGAACUAAUCCAUCAUCUUUGCCUUUGAAACGUUACAAAUUUAAAGACAUAGGAAUAUAAAUCAAGAGACAUAAUUUUGAUUUGACUUGAAUUGAGUAAGAUUAGUCAACUAAUUGCAUGCUAACUUCUUCACAUUAAUAGGUCGAAAUUGACUCCUAAGCUCGGUCUCAAAUUCCUCUUAGUCAUCAAAUCCGCCUUGAGCUUUAUAGCUUUGAGUUCAAUGUUGCUGCCAAAUGGCUACUGUACCUUUCAAAUAAUUAUAGGUAUAUAUAAUUCUUUUGCUCGUAUUUGAUCCAUAUAAUUGGAAGAACUACUGCAUGCUAAAGAGCCAUUGGCAUAUAUCUUCUUGCCUUAAGGUCUCUGAGUAUGUAUCAGACUUCUUCAAUUUCAGCCUAACAAAUAUCAAUUUUCUUAUCUUAAAAGCUUCUAUUUGCCCUUGUAGAAUAACUAUCUACUUAAGAAGUGAUAUAAUUAAGUCUUCAUGUAAGAUUGCUACAUCAUAUCUUCGAUGUUGUAAUUUCCUUACUAAACUUUGCUAUUAUAGUAUUUUCUUUCCUUUUAGCUGACUUCUUAAAGUAUUUUGUUGUAGCUCCAAAAUAGUAUCCGAUGUGAUUACAAGAAGUGACUUCCAACUAAAUGGUAGCUAUCAAUACACUACCAUAGAACAGACUAAUAUUUAUUUUAAUAUCAAUGAAACAAGACUUGAUACUCUAAGGUCUAAAUUCUACCAAAUCCAUAAAAACUAAGAUUUCAAUACAACGUAAGACAGAAUAUACUAGAACAAAAUUGAAAGUAAUUAAAUGAAAUAGAACAUAAAAGAUAAAAUUGAGUAGAAGAGAAUAAAAUCAAAUAGUUCCAAAUAGAACUAAAUAAAAUGGAAUAAAAAAAUCAAACUUAAAUAACAAAAAGAAUCUAAAGCCAUAUUUAAUAGAAUAUUCUAAAUAGCGUUAUUCAAUUCUAUUUAUACUUUUUUAAAAAUAUCUUAAAACUUUCUAAAAUAUCCCUAAUGGUGGAUCCCAUCAAAAUAACCAUCCUUUUAAAAGAUUUUAGAAAUGGAUUGUACUAUGAUAAUUGACACAAAUUUAGAAUACUGACUCGAAAUCUAAACAAGGAGCUCAAGAAGAAUCGACAAGAACUAGAUUAAUCAGAUGAAUACAAGAACAACACUAGAGAGGUGAGCUAGAGCUCCAAGAGGUGUGUUGUCGAGACUCAGGAUCCCUUCAAUCUCAACUCCUAUAUAUACUACAAGCUACGAAGCUUCUUAAGUAGCUUCCACAAGCUAGGAAGCAUCUCAAGCAGCUUCCACAAACUUAAAAAUUUCUCAAGUAGCUUCUACAAACUACAAAGCUUUUCUAGAACCUUCUAGAAUCUUCUACAACUUCCUAAUGUAUGUCUUGACAUCAUCCCUUCUUUUAGCUUCCAGGUCUCCGAGAAGCACUCCUAUUGCGAGUCAGUACUAAUGUAAGAAGUUAAAAAUUUGUUGUAUAGUAUCUGUAAUAUACUCCAAUUAUUGUUCGUGCGGCAAGUAGUUCAUUGGUCCUUGUAAUCAAUGAUAGUAUCCUACAACUUUGAUUUCUGACCAAGUAUAAACUUCCGUGUCUUCAUUGUGAAAAUGCCAUGCAAACACUCCUUUAGAAAGAUAAUCCUAGGUAGAUUCUACCUCAAAUACAAUCACUAGCGACCUGUUAUUAGGUAUCCUCUGUCAUCUUCAUAGUAGAAGCGAUUCUUCAUCUCGGAGUCAUCUUUGUGUAAUAUUUGGUUAAGAAGACAUGAUUAGUAUGGUAUUUAGCUCUUAGCUAUCCAUAUCAGACCGAAAAAAUAAGCACUAAAUAUGGAAGAAUGGGCUCAAGUUACAGAUUUAUAGUCUCUAACUAUGUCUUUUAAAGGUUCCUUCUCUCCCUUCUUUGUAAGGCCGAGGAUUAAGAGGCUUCAAAGAGAAGAAACUUCACUAAAAAACUUUCAUUGAAAGGGCUUAGAUUUUUGAGGAUAGCAAUGAUGAAACUCCUGUACCUUUUGCGACGCAUUGACAAGAUUUUUUGCUAGUUCCCAUGUGCGCUCAUUGAUAUCAUAUAUGCUUCAAUGCAUUAGGUACUCCAAUUUCUCCCACUUACGCCGCAAAUCUAGUACCUUUUCUACCUCGUAUUUCUCAUGGUUCUCAAUUUCAAUACUAUGUGGUGGACAUUGGACUCUUCCAAGAAAAGAUGAGUCUUGAUAAGGCUCCAACAAAGAAAUAUGAAAGACUAGGUGUACCUUCAUAGCAGUCGAUAAUCCCAGACGGUACGCCAGUGAAUUGAAUGGCUUCUAGAUGAUAAAUGGUUCCAAUCUCCGAUAGUUCAACUUAUCACAUGGCCCCUUGGUUUUGAUAUUCCAUCGAAGCAGCCAUAUUUUAUCUCCAAUUUUGAAAGUAAGUGCCUGAUUUUGAAAUUUAUCCGUGGAUGCCUUGUAAGCUUCUUGGGCAGUUUGCAAUUGCAACUUCAACGUAGUUUGAAGCUCUGAUAGUUGUUUCACAAAUCUUUCAAUUGUUAGAUUAUUAUUGGUUGAUGGACUCAACAAAUCAAGCUUUGGAUGAUACCCAUAGUUAGAAAAGAAUGGUGUUUUUUGAGUCGACGCAUGAAGGGUGUUGUUAUAUGCAAACUCGACUAACGAUAGAUAUGCAGUCUAAUCAUCUUGUUGAUAAUUGAUUCUGCAUCGUAAAUACUACUCCAAAGUUUGAUUCAUCUGUUCUGUUUGGCCAUCAAUUUGAGGAUGAAAAGCCAAAGAAAGCUUGAUAUCCACCAUCAAUAUCUCAAAGAGAGAUAUCCAAAACCUUGAUACGAAUUGGGUUCCUUGAUCUGACAUGAUAUUAUUUGGUAAACCAUGAUAUCAAUACACACUAUCAAGGAAGAGACUUGUUGUGUCUUUGCUUGAUGAUGUUUUCUUAUAAGAGACAAAGUGUGCCAUCUUUGUAAGUCGAUCUACUACGACAACUAUGCUGUCAAAUGAAUUCGAUGGUGAUAGGUCCGUACUGAAGUCUAUAGAAAUUGAAGACCAUGGCCGACGUGGAAUAGGCAAUCACUGCCGAAGAUCAUAAUGACGAUGCCAAGGGUUCUUGGAUCUUGAAUAAAUGUCACAAGAGAGGACAAAAUCCUUGACAUCCUUCCACAUUUGAGGCCACCAAAAAUCUCGAGAAAUAAGUUCCAAUGUCUUAUUGAAUCUAAAAUAUUUUGUAGCUGAAAAGUCAUAUCGAGAUUGGAAACUCGAAGUCAUGUUGGUCCCUUUGGAAUAUACAACCGCUCCUCAAAGUAUAAAAGAUCUCUUUCCACCUUGAACUUAUCAUUAUUGGCAUAUUCGAUGAUAUCUAGGGCUACGGAAUCUCCAAUAGUUACAGUACGUACCUGAUUGAGGAAGUAAGCAUCAAUUGGCACUAUAGCAGAGCAAAGCCUGAAUUGUUUCGACUUCAAUAAUAUUAUACACUAUUGAUCAAAUGCUGCUUCUCCAGCCUUUGGCGCUAAAUACGAUCUCCUUGAUAAUGCAUUGGAUAGUUCUUAUUGCUUCUCAUGUUGAUAAGUAAUAAUAAAGUCAAACCUGGAUAAUAAUAUAUUCCAUCAAGCUUGACAACGAUUCAGAACCCGAGCCGACAUGAAGUACUCAAAAUUCUUGUGAUCCGUAUAUAUGAUUAUGAAAUAUGCAGCUCCAUCAAGAAAGUGAUGCCACUCUUGGAAAGAAUCUACUAUCACAAGAAAUUCUUUAUCGUGGAUCUUAUAAUUGAUCUCAACAGCAAAAAACUUCUGAGAGUAGAACGCAAUCGGAUGAAGCUUCUCAUCUGCGCUUAUCUGUGAAAGUACAACUCCCAUAGCAAAAUCUAAAGCAUCGGUCUCCAAAUAGAAUGCCUUUGUAAAAUCCGAAUGUACUAAGAUUAGAGCAGUAAUAAAUGCCAUCUUAAGAUCUUGAAAUGAUUUUUUCACUAGAGGUCCCCAUUCGAGCUUGUCUUUAUAUGUCAACCGAGUGAACAAAACAACAACUUAAAAAUAAUUCUUGAUGAAGAUUCGAUAGAAGUUAGCAAAGCUAAGAAAGUAUUGUACAUUUCUAAUCGUCUUUGGAACUUCUCAUGAUACGAUUGCUUCUACCUUCUUAGGAUCCAUCUUCAAGCCUUUUGUAGUUGCAAUGAAUCCCAAAAAUUCCAUCUCAGUUUGGUGAAAUAAGGACUUUUCAAACUUGGCAUAAAGUCCUCGCUUGUAGAGUUUUUUAAGGACUAGGUAAAUGUAUUUUUCAUGCUCUUUUACAUUCUUGAAAAAUAUCAAAAUAUCAUCUAGGUAGAUGACAACAAAAUCAUCAAGGUGCUCCAAAAAGAUGUCAUUCAUCAUGUAUUGAAAGACCGUCGGAGCAUUGGUAAGACCAAAAGACAUGACAUUAUAUUCAAAAUGGCCAUACCUUGUAGGAAUAAUUGUCUUCUAUUUGUCUCCUUCCUUGAUUUGCACGAGGUUUUAAGCUCUCCUUAGAUCAAUCUUUGUAAAGUUCCUUGCACGCCCAAGUUGCUCUAGAAGACUUGAUAUCAAGGGUAAUGGACAACAAUUCUUCUUUGUCACCUUGUUGAGACGUCAAUAAUCCACGCAUAUCCGCAGCGAGCCAUCUUUCUUCUUCACAAAUAAGAUUGGUGAUCUAGUUAGCGACUUCAAAUGACAAAUGAAGUUCUUAUCUAGAUUCUCGUCAAUCUACUUUGACAACUCUGCUAACUCCGUCUACGACAAAUUAUAGAUUGGGCCAAAAGGUGGUUGUGCUCUUGCUUGCAAGUCUAUGGUACAAUCAUAUGGUUGAUGCUUCGAUAGCAUGUUGGCAUUUUUCUUUUGAAAUACGUCUUCAAAAUCCUUAUAUUGCUUUAGUAUAUUUAUUGUCAAAAUCUUCUCUCCGCUAGUUACAGUCACAUAAAUGACAAACUGUAUGCCUUCUUUGGAUGAUGUUACAAACGUUCUUGCUCCAAUAAAUAAGGAUUUUUUGAUUCGAAAUCUUCUAACAAGCUUAUUCUCGAAAUGUUCUAUAGGAACUGUCAUCAUUUCUAACCUCCAAUGUGUGGAUGGAUUACACAUUUCUAACCUCCAAUGUAUGGAUGGAUUACGUAUUUCUAACCAAGAAAGAUGAAGAAUAAUAGGAUUUGACAGGGUUCUAAUAAUAUUGAAAAUAAUAUAACUACUAUGGUCUUUAAACAUCACUUCUAUAGGUUCUGAUUCAUGGAUGACACUACCAGACAAUAAAGGUCGUCCAUCUAUUACUUCUACGUGAACAUGUUUAGAUUUUUGUACUAGAAGAAUCUCAUGAAGCUUAGCAAAUUCUUUGUCUAGAAAGCAAGCACAUGCUCCUGAAUCUAAUAACGCUAAGAUUUUUACUUUCUGAGGGCCAAAAGAUAGAAGAAUGGUAAAGCAAUGGACAGGCUGAGCGGAAAGAGAGGAACCUGAUUGUUGUUAUGGUAUUGAAUUUUCUAAUCGCUUAGUCCCUAUUAUGGCUGGACAUCUUUGUUUUCUUGAACAAAUGUGCCUUUGGUCUUGACAAUGCGUCGAUUUUACUUCUUAGGAUAGUUUCAGCUCUAUGGCCUUCUUCACCACAAUACAAGCAUAGUCUUUUCUCCAUACACCACUUUUUUUCUUCUAAAAUUAGAGAUUUUAUACGUACCAUGUCAAUUUGUAUAUCUUCCACCUCUGAAUAUGAAUUCAGGCUGCUUGCUAACAUAGUUGGAGCGUGGUGAGCUGUAUGUUGUCUUGAACGUUGGUCUUGACGAUGUUGAAACAGACAGUUAUUACACUUCACAACUUGGCUAAUGGCUUUGUUGAGUGUUUGAGGAUUAGAAAGAGAUAAUAACAAAUCUUUCAUGUCGUCCUUCAAGCCCUAAUAAAAUUGAAUCAUCAAUGCUUCCUCAUCCCAAUUGAUAUCACAUGCUAAUUGUCUGAAAUUUGAUGCGUAAGUUGAUGCGGAGCAUGCCCCUUGUCGUAGCGAUUGGAACUUUAUUGUAGUCUAUUGCACCUUCUCAUGUUUGCCAAAUGCUUCUGCAAACGCCUCCAAAAAAGUUUCAAAUUUGUUCAAAAUUGACGAUCUUAUCUCAAACAAAGGAGCAAACUAUGAUAGAGUUUGCCUCGUGAGCAAAGUUCCAACCAAUCCAACACGUUUUCAUAUUGUGGUUUGGCUACUAUAUGAAAAUAAUAUAAUUAUGUACUUAAUAUAUAAUUUAUUAAGUAACAUGGUGACAGCCAUAUUAGUAGAUUUUAGUUGGUUGUACAAUAUAAUUUGAUUAUUACCUUGAGAAGAGGUUGUUUAAAAAGUUUACUAUAGAAUUUGUAUAAUUUUAAUUUCCUUUUGAUAGUAGAUUUUAAGAUUGGUUUAAUUCAUAUUAACUUCUAAAUAUUUAGAAUCACCUUUGUUAGACAUUGGUGACUUUUGAAAACUUCUUUUGAUUCUUUUAUUUGGUAUUUAGAGCAUAAAUUAUAUAAAUCUUAUAAGAAAAAGGAUUGAAGAAGGAUUUUGGUAGCAAAGGGAGUAAUUAGGGCACCAAUAUAGAUGAAUGGAGAUGUAUAAUGAAAAUCUCCAUUCCUAUUGGUCAAAAAAUAUGACCAAUGGGCUUUGAAGAGGCUGCCCGAGGCCAUAUUAGGAAUUAGGGUUAAUUUCUCGAGGACAUUCAGAUUUUGAAGGCUAGGAUCAAAAGGUUUAGGUUUUUGGCUAUGGUUUUGGUGCAAGUUUAGCAUCAUUUGGGGUUUUUAUGAAGAAGUUAUAGAUGCUCAAAGUUAAGGUGUUAGUUUUGGACCUACUAUCACUCUUUUGGGCAUAACAUACGAGUAUGGAUCGCAAUUGUGGAUAAAUUCUACCUAUUCUAUAAAUUUGAGACAAACUGAAUGGUUAGAUCAAUAGUUAUGAUUUUCUAAAGUUUGGGGUAAGAAAACCCUUCGCAGAAAAAAUAUGUUUUGAAGGGAUUUUAUUUUAUUUGGAGUUUUAUAAAAAAUAAAGGAGUUUUGGAAGCUAAGACAAGAAUCAUAUAAAGGUUUAAGCUACACUCUCUAUAGCUAGAUACCCCGUGUAUUUCCAGAUAGCAAAUCAUGUCAUACGACAACGUGACUCUUCCAUCGGAUAGCGUUCGGGCUAUAUAGCUAUUAUCAAUCUAAUUUGAUUGAUAAAACCUUAAAACUUGGAAUGCUGUCGUGUUGUAACAUGAGUAUACCGUGAAAAUAUAAAAAAAAUGGGACUUUUAUUAAUGUUCAGUUACCUCGAAUAUUGGGAGCAACGACCAACUCCAGUGCAAAUACUGAGUGGCCAGGUUCAGUCACCCCGUUACAAUCAGCCGGGGUAUACUGAAAUGCUCCAUUCGAUUCCAAUAAUGGGAGUCAGCAGGAAGAAAAAGGACCAAUUCACACGACGGGUGAGCCUGGUUCGAAGAGCCAAUUGGAUCCAAUUUCAAGAAUCCAAUCCGAGUCCUCUUACCCAAUAUGAGACCUGAAUUGGCCAGGCAACCCAAUGCAGUUUAAUUAAGGAAAAAUCCAGGUCUUACUACGGGCCUCAGCCAAUCUGACACGAACGACCAAUUUGAUCCAAUUACGGGGACAUCCGGGUCUUACUACUAGACUCUUAGCCAAUAUGAGACCUGAAUUGGUCGGACGACUCAAUGUGGUCCCGAUUACGAGGUUUCGAUUUUGUUUCAGGUGGUCCUCUUCUCUGUGCCGUUUCAGGAAACGUUGUUUUCGAUAAAAGGAUCUCUUAAAGGUAAAAACGGGGGAGAAGCUCUGACAGCGAGAGCUAAUUUUGGAUCCUAAGCUUAGAAUUCCACGAAUUCUGGAUUCAAGACGGAAGAUUGAAGAAAUUCAGAGGAUAAGGUUAGGGGAGAGAAUAUAAGUAUGGAGAGUUUUUGAAGAUAAGGGGGAGAGCUAGCUUCAUGCUUCAGGCGGGAAAAAAAGAUAGAGAAUUGGGUUUUUUUUUCUUCAUAGGAUUUAGGGAAGACUAAAGCAAUCGUUGCUGAAGUCACUGUUGUAAUGGUGAAUCGAGAUUUUUAAUGAAGUGGGUUUGAUUACUCUUGAUUAUUUUGUGAAAUCGAGUUACGUCUGUGAUUGAAGAAUUAAAAGGGUGUCUAUAGGAUUGAGUAUGCGGAGUGAAUGAAAUUUAUUGGGUUAAUCUAACAAGACAGUCAGUGGAUACAAGAUCGUAAGUACAAAGCGGUAUCGAAGAUUAACAGUUUGGGUUGUUCGGGGUUCUCUGUAACGUCUAGAGACCUACCGACUGGGACAAAAAGGACUUUGACGAGCAGUCGAAGGGCAUCCGUAUAGAUUUACGGUGUAUUCUUGCAGUUGUUUAUAUUCCAACAGUAAAAAACUGAUAGACUACUUGACUAUCCACGAAUCUCCAUAUUACCUUCUACAGCCAAACGCUCGGCGCGUUCUCGAGCAGGAAAGCAUGUAAUACGACAAAAGUGGUGAACCCGACGUGAAAGCUUGAGGUGGAAGGUAUUGGAUUUUGAUUGAUUUUAUCUUUAUUUUAUGGAAAACGAAAAUAAAAAUUUUGAAGGAUUUUUGAGAGGAGUUUCUGGUAGAGGUUCUUCUAAAGGACAAGGUAUGCACAUGGAUUCGUCUAUUGCUAGUAUGUUUCAAGCCAUCUCAUUAUCAAUGUAGCAACAGCAAAGCAAUGAUUGAAAGGAAGCUUUGGCAACCAAAGCAUUGCAAGCAGUGGUCAAUAAAAUUGAUCAAUUUGAUGGAAGGAAUAUUUCAAGGUAUUUAAGAUGUUAUGUUCGUGAAAUGGAAUUAAAUCGGGUUUCAGAGAAGAAAAUGGUUGCACUAUUUGGACUUGCCACGAUACCGGAGAUAAGAGACUACAUUACACCGAUUACGGAUCAUUAUGGGAAUUCAUGGGAGGUUUUUUUGCAUGCAUUGAAAGACGAAUAUUUCUUGAAAGAUGCUGAUCGCGUUACUAAGAAGCUGUUUCCGGAAUGGAUUGAACGGCCCAAUAAGAAUUUGCAAGCAACAGAGCUACUAAGGAAAUUUGAGAGGCAGUACUCUCAAUUGUCGAAGGUAGAAAAAUUGACAUUGGAGCCGAACAAAGUUGAUCUAUUUCUUCAAGCUGCUCAUGGAGAAUUGCAAGGGAAAUUAGAACUUCUUCUUGAAGACAAAGAAGAAGAUGAAGGAUUGACAACGAAGUGGAAGAACGUUGAAGAUGCGGUGAGGUUUCUUACAAAAAGAGAAAGGAGCAAGGAUAGGAGCAAUAUUCAGAAAACAGUACAAGCACCCAAAGCUCCAGUACGUACAACACCACCAACAAUGCCUACAGUUCAACCUUCGACAUCCUUAUCAAAGAAAGCAGAUAUGGGGAUGGAAGAAAUUAUACGAGGAAUGCGAGAUCUUCAAAUCAAAUUGGCAAGACUUGAAGAGAAUACUUCUACAAACAAUUCGAAGAAUGUUUCAAAACAAGGAUAUGUACAAAGAUGCAUUUGGUGUGAUGAUGCUUCACACACUAGAAAAGAUUGCAAUGAAUUUAAUAAUAUGAUACGGCACGGAAUUAUUUGCUGAAAAGAUGGGAAGAUAGCAUUGAAAGAUAGGGAGGAUCUUCUUCAAACCAAUUUUGGCAAGGGAGGAAUGAGAGCAUUGGUUCAAGAUUACCUAAAAGAGCAUGAAACAACAACACGAGAAAGUGCAAGUUAUGGUGCUAGAAUAGAUGAUGAAAUUGGUGGAAGUACAGAAACUAGUGAGUUUUGGGCUUCUGCCAUUUCUACAAUGCAAGAAGGGAAAUUACCUCGAGAAGCGUUAUUGAGAACUGCAGCUACAAUACGAGGUAGAACAGGUUGAGAGGAUCUUGUUGAGUCUCUUUCAGUGCAUGCAUAUAUUGCUAAAAGCCAACAUGAAGCUUUGAUGGAAGAAAAGAGACGAGAAAAUUUUGAUGAUACUAGAGAAGGAAAUUCUUUUAAGAGGCAAACUCGAGGAGACAAGGCUCGGGAGGCAGCUUCAGAAGAAUUGCCUGUAAAGGAUACCUCAGCAUCAUUGGGAGAAAAAACAAAGGAGACAAAAGAUAAGGGCAAAUCAAUUGCUUAUAAGCUACUUUCAGACAUUGAAGCGGCAACAAAUUUGAAAGGGGUGUUGGAAGAACGUAUAUUAAAUGCUAAGGUGGAAUUCACAUUGAAAGAAGUCUUGAAAAUUGUAAAGAAGGAGUUUCAUGAUGUUAUCAUUGACAGCAUUAAGCGAAAGAGGCAAUUAAUGGGCGAAACUGGAAUGAGUCAUGUUAUUGAUACAAGAAUAUAUAGAGAUGAAGAAGAGGUUUAUAUUGGUUACAAGCAACUGUAAAAUAAGAAGUUAUUUGCUGAAUUGUAGAUUCUUAGUUUAUAGUGUAAACAUAGAUAAAUGACUGUUGAAAAGGUAGUUCAGUAGGUAAAAUGGAUGAAUAGUUAGGAAAAGCAGUUUUCAUUAGAGAUGUAGCAGUUGGUAUCUCGUGGUAGCAUAAGGAGGAUGGAAGAGAGGAAGUAGGGGCCAGACUGUGAUAGUGUGAGCCGGGGUAAGCUUGGUGCUACCUCUUUUCUUUUGUUUGUUAUUUUCUUUGAAUAAGAAGAUUAAGAGUUUCUGAAUAUUAUGAAAGUGAAUUAUGGAAUGGAAGUAUGAUUGUUAUUAAAUGAGAAGAAGAAAGAUUGAAUGCUGAAAUCUGAUUGUAGUUCAGCAGAGAGAAUGAGUCUGUGUUUGUGUGAAACACUGUAAUGUGAAGGCAGUUAAUGGUGAAGAACUCCAGAGUUUGGAUUAUAGUAUGAUUAUGUCCUGUCAUUUAGGAUAGUGCGGGAUUACUUGUUGUUGUUAUCAGUGAUGGUGGAGUAUUAUUAGGAAGUGGAAAGCAUUGUAGUAUUUCCUGGGUGUUUUAAGUUGUACGGAAUACAGUUAAUUGUGUGACCCUAAUGUGUAAGCUCAUGCGGUAUUCUUUCCUUGUGUUCGAAUCCCCCUAUACAGGUUUAGUCUCAUUAGAUUAGUUAGAGUAAGUAAAAUGAUAAUCACAUUUUGGCGCCGCUGCCGGGGAAAUUGAUAAUAGCAUGGAAUAUUAGGUAUUAAUUGCCGGUUGAAGUAGAUGGAAAAUAGGUAGCAGUUGCAGAAGAAUAUAAUGAAAGUGUAUAGUUAUUAAGAAUGAGAACUUAACAGUAAAGAAAAUACGGUAGUCAAGAGAAAGAAUAGAGAGAUCGCAAGCAAGAAAUUUUUUGCAAAACGAGCAACAAAGAAAGUUAAAAAAGAAUCAUAGAUAAAGCUGGAUUAAGCCAUGGUUGCAUGCCUAUUGUCAUAUUGGAGCAUACUCAGAAGUUAAUCGAUAUCUAAUAUUUCAGAAGUAUAUACCGUUAGAGAAAUUGCCAAGAGCACUUGCGGAAAAUUUGGUCAAUAGGCUAGGGUUUCUUCUGAGACCAUUAACUGAGAGUGGGGGAAUCACAGAAGAGUUGGGUACUCCAUUGGGUACGUUUCCAAUAGAGGAAACUGCCGAUUCCGUCAAAACUGGUUCCAUAGAGUCGCAUAAAUUAUUGGUCAAUAAGGGCCAAUUCAGUGUGUUUCAAAAUCCGUCAUUCUCACCUUCUAUUCAACCAAUAAACUUGUUCAAGGAUAAUAAUAGCAAAUUGAGUAGGGUGGAAAGUUCAGAAAAUAUAUUUGGGAGGGACGCAGACUAUAUUAACAAACGAUUAAGUAUCACAUUGUCAAAUUCAAUGACGACGGGAGGUCCAACGGUUCCUAUAGCAGUACAAAUGGGUACUGUGAGUGAUCGCACAACUAGCGUGGCUCCAUUACCUACCUUUAGGGGCUUUCCGGGUGCGGAUCCAGAUCAACAUUUGUCGCAAUUUUUGAUAACAUGUGUCGUCAAUAAUGGGAGAACCGAGGAUAUUUGGUUACGAUGGUUGCCAGCAACCUUAAAGGAUACGGCAUUUGAAUGGUAUAACCGUCAAAUAGUUGGUCAAUUUUCGAACUAGGAAGCAUUGAAGAAUGCAUUUUUGACCCAUUUUUGACCCGUUUUCGACCAAUUGGUUUUGAAGAUUGUCUUCGAGGAAGGUUAAUGAACAGCAAAAUGAUCCUAGAAGAGGUGGUAGAAUCGUACUAUGGCCGAGUGGCUGAUAUACUUAGUAAGUGGCAGAACCACCAAAUGCCGGAGGCAUUUAUAUUAUCUAUAUUAAUAAAUGGUUUGCACCCACCAGAGCUAAAAAUGUUUGUCAAAGAAACUCAACCAGUUAUGGUAUCUGCAUCCCUUGAUAGAGCCAAGGUUUGGGAGGAAUGCCAUUAUGAUCAGUUUUUAAUUGUGAGUGCCACGAUGAUACCAGUUCAAAGCAAUUAUCAAUAUCCGACUUUGAACGGAGCAGUGGGUAGUUAUCCACAGAUGAUCGAAACAGUGGCCCAUUCAAGUGCCAAUACUCAAGGGCCAGUUAAUGUUACCCCAUUGCAAGCUUUACCACUGCAAGUCACAACAGCGUAUGCUCCAUAUUUUCCAUAUCAAACACAAGACUCAACUUUGGCAAAAAAACAAAUAAUACCAGCUUCAAAAGAUUCCAAUGAAGCCUUGUUAUUGAACUUGACGAAGAAAAUGGAGGAAAUGGCCGUUAAUAUGGCCAAAGAUAAAGAGAAGAGGCAAAAGCCAACCAAUACUAGGACCAAUGUAUGGUGCAGUAAUUGUUAGGGCCACGGUCAUUUGGUAACGGAAUGCCCGUCACCUUCACAAGUGUUGGAUAAAUGUACAUUUUGUGGAGGCAAGCACUUAACCGCUAAUUGUUGGAAUUUGCAAAGACAACAACAAUUCAGUAAUCCGACCAUGAUUCCACCAACUCCAUGGGAUGUCAAUCAAGUUCAAACAGGAAAUACGAUUGGAUGGCAUGGAAAUCAAUCUAAUCGACAAAAUUGAGCAGUCAAUCAUUUUCAGAAUUCCACUUAUAAUCAAGAGUUUGUAUCAAAUCCUCAGAACUAUGGUAAGGAACAGCAUGGAUAUCAGCCAUAUGCUCCAUCGAUGCUAUUGAACUAAGUACAACCGGGACAACCAGGAUCGUUUUUUCAACCUACAUGGAACAAACCUAAUAGGUAUAUACUGGUGGAGACACCCAAUAUGCCUGAUGGAGGUGCAAAAAGGCCAUUGCGUUGUUUCCGUUGUAGACAGAUUGGUCAUUAUGCCAAUGAAUGUCCCAAUCCAAGAGCCAGUGACGAUUAUGCGCCAGUUUGUGGGAAUUGCAAGCAGUCAGGGCAUACGUAUCAGCAAUGUAAUGCUCCAUUCAAUUUCAAUAAUCGCGAUCAGCAGAUCCAGAGUCCAGAAAAAAUGGAGGGAAUAAAUCGAGGUCCUCAAGACUCUCCAGUAAAUUGGGUGGAAUGUGUCCUUACCGUUUUUACUAGGAGUCAACAAAAAGAGAAAGGCCCAAUUAAACAUUUGGAAGAUCCUAAAGCGAAGGGCCAAUCACACUCAAUUAUGGAUCCAUCCCAUUCAGGUCCUGACACUGGAAAAGUCUUGAGCCCUGAUUUGGUUGCGAAGCCCAAUGAGGUCCCAAUUACGGAGUUUUCAGUUUCGUCUCGAAUCGGUCAGUUCCCACAGCAGUUCUAGGAAGCAUCAUACCCGUUGAAAGAUUCCCUUGAGAAAGGUAGUCCCAAGGAAGCUCAAGUUGCUGUUCCAAUUCCAAGGCCAGGGCAGCAGAAUAAUUUACCUCACGGAGUUAAACUCAAACCCAUGAAACGGAAGAGGGCAUUGAGAAUUACCCUAAAUAUGGAACCCUACGAUAUUUUAAAGGAUUUGGACGCUAUUCGGCCUUCAAUUUCUAUGAAGCAACUUCUAGCAGUUGCACCAAAGUGUCAUUCCACCUUGAAUUCAUUCCUAACAAGACAUCUGCAUCGUAAUAUGGAAGUUUGUGAAGUUAGUUUGAACCCUGAUCCAGGUGCACCAACCAUUGAUGUUUCGAUUGAUGGUGUUCUGAUCUCUGGCGUCUAGGUAGAUGGAGGUUCUAGCGUCAAUUUAAUGAACGCAGAUACAAUGGAUGCUUUAGAUCUCGAACAAUUAGUCCCCACGACAUUGGUAUUACGGAUGGCAGAUUAUAGCCAAGUUAAGCCAAUGGGUAUUUUACGGAGUGUUCAAACUAUAAUUGCAGGUAUUGCAUAUGAAAUUGACUACAUUGUCUUUCGCUUACAACGUUCGACUUUAUCGUACCCUAUUUUAUUGGGACGACCUUGGCUGUAUCAAGCAAAGGCCAAGAACGAUUGGGGUCAGGGUACUUUGACAAUUGGUAAGGGCGUAGAUAAAAUGGUGUUACAAAUGUACCCAGUACGCUAUCACGGGGAGUCUCAGUUGCCAGCAUCUGAAUUGACGUCGGACGAAGAGCUUAGCUCCGAGGAUGACACAGAAGUAUCGAGUACGGAGGCCAAUGUGGAGGCAGCACUACACCCUGGAGUGGUGUACCAAUGUGGAGGUUCGGGGGAGUACUUGAUAUACCCGAAGGAUUCGGAAAACUCUGCUUAUGUUAAUAUUGACUAGAAACCUCCGCACGAUGUGCACCAUGUUAGUGCCCUCGAGACGAAAUUCGUUACUUUGCAUAUUUUGAACAUACCGAGUAAUUUUAAAUCACUGCGGGAAUUGAAACAGAGUAUUGUUGCUGAACCUGUAUGUGAAACUAUUAACUUAGCAACCACGGCCGAACCUCGGCUAAUUCAGGUCUACGAAGGUAUUAAGGAACAAGAGUUGACAUAUUGGACAGAGUUUUUCUUACAUCAUAAAUCCGCUUUUGCUUGGACUUAUGAUGAUCUACAAGGUAUCCCCGCUGAUGUCUGUGAACAUCGUAUCAUAUUGGAAGAAAAUGCUAAAUCGGUAUGCCAGAGGCAACAUCGCCUUAAUCCUAAAUAUUCCCUUAUGGUGAAGGAAGAAUUGGACAAGCUUCUUGCGGUGGGUUUCAUUUACCCAGUACCGAAUAGUGAGUGGGUUUCUCCAAUUGUGAUGGUGCCAAAAAAGAACGAAAAAAUCUAAAUUUGUCAAGAUUUUCGGAAACUUAAUGCAGCCACCAAGAAAGAUUACUUUCCGUUACCAUUCACGGAUAGUAUAUUAGACGCCGUUGCCAGUCACAAAUGCUAUUCGUUUCUUGAUGGUUUCUCCGAGUAUAAUGAAGUUCAAAUUGCAAAAGAAGACCAGCUCAAGACAACCUUUACUAUGGAUUGGGGCACAUUUGCUUAUCGCGUGAUACCUUUUGGGUUAUGUAACGCCCCAUCCACGUUCCAAUGUAUGAUGACUCAGGCUUUUCAAGACUAUCUCCGGAUGUUUAUGGAGCUCUUUUUAGAUGACUUUUGUACAUUCAGUACCAAACAAGAUCAUCUUCAUUGUUUAGGCAAAUGUUUAGCUUAGUGUGCCAAAUUUGGGAUAUCGUUGAAUUUGGAGAAGUGCCAAUUUGGUGUUCCGUCCGGAAAAUUAUUGGGUCAUAUUGUUUCCAGUCGUGGUAUUGCUACGGAUCCUGAUAAAGUGCAGCAUAUCAUGAACUUGCCCAGACCAAAGAUAGUCUCCGGUGUUCGAGGGUUCGUUGGUCAUGUCAGUUAUUAUCGAUGAUUUAUAAGUUUGUUUGCGGUUAUUUGUCAACCUUUAACGAACUUACUGAAGAAACCUCCAUUCGAUGGUACUAGUCUCCUCUGGACCAAGGAGUGUACCGUAGCCUUCGAAGUCUUAAAGUCAAAAUUGGUCUCUGCACCAAUAUUGGUGGCUCCUUGUUGGACAAAGCCAUUUCAUGUGUAUGUUGAUGCAUCCAAUGCUGCUAUUGGCUCGGUGUUAAACUAGAAAGAUGAUAAGAGAUUAGAUCAUCCCAUAUAUUAUGUCAGUCGACAAUUGGUGGCUGUCGAACGUAACUAUACUACUACUGAACGAGAGGCGUUGGAUAUGAUAUACUCGGUUCAAAAAUUUCGGCACUAUUUGCUUGGGUAUCCGUUUGUAUUUUAUGUGGAUCAUGAUGCUCUCAAAUAUCUGAUUAAUAAGUCUCAAUUGAGUGGGCGCAUUGCUCGCUGGGUCUUACUCCUCCAGGAGUUCAAUUUUACGGUGGUUGUCAGACUUGGGAAGCAACAUGCGAACGCGGAUCAUUUAUCCCGGUUGUCUAAUAUUCUCGGCAACGAGCCUGUUCCCGAUGAUCUUCCCGAUGCCGCAUUAUUUGUGGUGGAUGUGUUAUCCCCCGAGUAUAGCGAAAUUAUUCAGUUUUUGACCUUCCAUACUUUUCCGCCGACUUUCACGGAUAAGCUUAAGAAGCAUCUUAUUCUGAAGAGUGCCCCAUACACGAUGAUUCGUGGUGCUUUGUAUAAACAAGGCCGAGAUGGUCUUUUACAGCGCUGUAUCUUUUUCAAAGAAGUACAGUCAAUACUUAUCGAUUGUCAUUUGGAUAGUUGUGGUGGUCAUUACGCGGGAGACAGCACUGCUCGCAAGGCUUUAAUGGCCGGAUAUUGGUGGCCCACAAUGUUUUCUGAUGCCCACCACUUCGUUCACCGUUGUGAUCCUUGUCAACGAAUUGGUCGACCUACGGGUACUUUCGCCAUGCCGUUAGUCCCAAUCUUGGCCUAGGUCCCGUUUGAAAAAUGGGAUAUUGAUUUUGUUGGUCCCAUUGCACUUGCGUCAAAACCUGGUCAAAAGCGAUAUAUCUUAGUCGCCACAGAUUAUGUCACCAAAUGGGCAGAGGCGAUUGCUACCUGCACCGAUAAUGCCAGUACGGUGGCAACUUUUCUGUAUGAGAAUAUUAUCACUCACUUUGGGUGUCCCAAGGAAUUGGUCAGCGAUCGAGGCACCCAUUUCAUCAAUGCUACCAUCGCCGCCUUGACGACCACAUAUGAGAUCAAGCAUCGUAAGACCACUUCCUAUCAUCCUCGUGCCAAUGGGCAAACGGAAAAGACCAACGGCAUUUUGUGUAAAGUCUUGACUAAGACAAUUUCAGGGGCCGGUACUGAUUGGGAGACCAAACUCUUUGCAGCUUUGUGGGCUUAUCGUACCGCCUAUAAAGUAACUAUCCACUCUACUCCGUUCCAAUUAGUUUACGGCCAAGAGACAAUUUUACAUAUCGAAUUGGAGGUUCCCAGUUUACGUAUUGCCUUAGACGAACCCCUCAGUGACACCGAGUCAUUACACUCUUGGUUGAUGAAAUUGGAGGAAUUGGAUGAAAUACGGGCUGUCGCUCUAUUCCACAUGGAAGCCACUCAAAAACGGAGGAAGAGUUACUAUGAUAGUAAACUGCAACCGAAGUGUUUUAUGCCCAAUGAUUUGGUAUUGCUGUAAGACAGCCGAUUCAAUCAUUUUUUGAGAAAAUUUCAGUUCGUCGGCAUGGGCCAUAUCGCGUAAUUGAAGGAUUUUCUAAUGGGUCUGUUCAAUUGGAGGAUUUCACGGGUCAUCGUUUCAGUACCCGCAUUAAUGGGAAUCGUUUACGGUUAUAUAAUACCUAAAACCCGGGACGGGUUUUAUUUCAUUUGAAGGGAGGAGACUUCGAAUGGACUCAAGAGGGACAUAAUUAUGGUAUAAGGCGUAGAGGCGACUGCAAGGAUAUUUAGUAAUCACUAUUGUGUCAGAUGCGAAGGAAGUGAGAAAUGGACAGUAUGGGUACCAUGUUAUCGUUCUCAUCAAUAGGUAAUAGAAUAGGAGUGGGGCUCCUAUUAAAGAUUAUUCUGUGGUGUUAUAUUCUGUUGUUGCUUAUUUGUGUUUCAUUUUAGUGUUUCGGGCAUAUUGGAGAGUCGCAUUGUCGAUUAGGACCUGUAAGCGUUUGAGUCAUGGCGAUUGAAAGUACCAAGAGAGCUGUAGACAAAGAUGAAAGUGGCCGGAAUGUGAGAGUUAAACGCACAGCAAAACCACCGUCUGUAAUAAUCGUUACCUAUAUGGAGCUGAUGAAGUUAGAAAUCUGUUGGACGAAGAGAAAAAUAAGGGAUUUUUGGACUGCGAAGCUGUUCCAAUUUUUGCACCAUUCAGAGCGUUUACCAUCAAUCAAUGUGUCAUUAGUGGAGGAAUACAUUAAGAAUUACGACCCCGAGGAUGGAUCGAGUGUCGUUCAAGGGCGAAUUAUUGGGAUUGAUGAAACAAUCCUGGAAAAGGUGUUGUUUCUUCACAUUGGAGAGAUGGCAGUAGAGACUGAUGAGUCAAGCGAUUUCAGCCCAGGUAGAUAUUUCAAGGGAGGAAUGUCAUCCUUUGAAAGGACCAAGGAUGGCGGACUUAGGAGGCGAUUACACCAAAAUAUGUGGAAUGGUUGCGAUUUGUGCUGAAGCGGUUAGGAUUGUACCGACACCCCACUUAUGUAUCAAAAUGAUUAUUGUAUGCAGCAGUAGGAGCGUUGUCGUGUGGUAACACGAGUAUACAGUGAAAAUAAAAAAAAAAAAAAAAAAAAAAAAAAGAAUUUUAUUAAUAUUCAGUUACCUCGAAUAUUGGGAGCAUCGACCAACUCCAGCGCAAAUACUGAGUGGUCAGGUUCAGUCACCCCGUUACAGUCAGCCGGGGCAUACUGAAAUGCUCCAUUCGAUUCUAAUAACGGGAGUUAGCAGGAUGAGAAGGACCAAUUCACACGGCGGGUUUGAAGGGCCAAUUGGAUCAAAUUUCGAGAAUCCAAUCCGGGUCCUCUUACACAAUAUGAGACCUGUAUUGGUGGAGCAACCCAAUGCAGUCUAGUUAUGGGAAAAUCCAGGUCUUACUACGGGCCUCAGCUAGUCUGACGCGAAGACCAAUUUGACCCAAUUACGCGAGCAUCCAGGUUACUACGGGCAUCUUACCUAAUAUGGGACCUGAAUUGGUUGGGCGACUUGAUGUGGUCCCGAUUAUAGGGUUUCGAUUCUGUUUCGGGCCGUCCUGUUCUCUGUGCCAUUUCAGGGAACGUUGUUUACGAUAAAUGGAUCUCUUAAAGGUAAAAACGGAAGAGAAGGCCUUAAUGACGUGAGCCAAUUUCGGAUCUAAGCUCUGACGGCGGGAGCCAAUUCCGGAUCUAAGAUGGAAGAUUGAAGAAAUUCAGAGGAUAAGGUUAGGGGAGAAUAUAGUUUUAGAGAGGGAGGUUUUUUUUUUUUUCGGGGAAUCGGGAGAGGAAGCUAGUUUUCAAGCUUUUGCAAGGUUACCAGUUCGGUUUUUAUUGGAGGGUUUUGAAGAUCAAGGGAAUUAGAGAGAGGAGCUUUAUGCUUCGGGUUGGGGAAGGAAAGACAUAGAAUUUGGAUUUUUCUUCUGCAUAGAGUUUUGGGAAGACUGAGGCAAUCGCUGCUGAAGUCAGUGUUCUAAUGGUGAAUUGGGAUUUUUAAAUGAAGUGGGUUUGAAUACUCUUGACUGUUUUGUAAAAUCAAGUUACGUCUGUGAUUGAAGGAUUAAAAGGGUGUCUAUAGGAUUGAGUAUGCGGAGUGAAUGAAAUUUAUUAGGUUAAUCUAACAGGACAGUCAGUGGAUGCAAGAUCGUAAGUACAAAGCGGUAUUGAAGACUAACAAUUUGGGUUGUUCAGGGUUCUCUGUAACGUCUAGAGACCUACCGGCUGGGGCAAAAAAAAGACUUCGACAAGCAGUCGAAGAGCAUCCGUAUAGAUUUACGGUACAUUGUUGCAGUGGUUUAUAUUCCAGUAGUCAAAAACUGAUAGACUGCUUGACUAUCGGUGAAUCUCCAUACUACCUUCUACAGCCAGACGCCCGGCGCGUUCUCGAGCAGGAAAGCACGUAAUACGACAUAAGUGGUGAACCCGACGUGAAAGCUUGAAGUGAAAGGUAUUGGAUUUCGGUUGAUUUUAUCUUUAUUUUUAUGGAAAACGAAAAUAAAAAUUUUGAAGGAUUUUUGGGAGAAGUUUCUGGUGGGGAGUCUUCUAAAGGACAAGGUAUGCACAUGGAUCCGUAUAUUGCUAGUUUGUUUCAAGCCUUCUCAUUGUCAAUGCAGCAACAGCAAAGCAAUGAUCGAAAGGAAGCUUUGGCAACCAAAGCAUUGCAAGCAGUGGUCAAUAAAAUUGAUCAAUUUGAUGGGAGGAAUAUUUCAAGGUAUUUAAGAUGUUAUGUUUGUGAAAUGGAAUUAAAUUGGGUUUCAGAGAAGAAAAUGGUUGCACUAUUUGGACUUGCCACGAUACCGGAGAUAAGGGACCACAUUACAUCGAUAACGGAUCGUUGUGGGAAUUCAUGGGAGGAUUUUUCACAUGCAUUGAAAGAUGAAUAUUUCUUAGAAGAUCCUGAUCGCGUUACUAAGAAGCUGUUUCUGGGAUGGAUUGAACGGCCCAAUAAGAAUUGCAAGCAACAGAGCUACUAAGUGAAUUUGAGAGGCAGUACUCUCAAUUAUUGAAGGUAGAAACUUAUGUCAUAUAACGUGCUUUCCUGCUCAAGAAUGCGUCGGGCGUCUGGCUGUAGAAGGUAGUAUGGAGAUUCACCGAUAGUCAUGCAGUCUAUCAGUUUUUGACUGCUGGAAUAUAAACGACUGCAACAAUGUACCGUAAAUCUAUACGGAUGCUCUUCGACUGCUUGUCGAAGUCUUUUUUUUUUUUUUUUUUUUGCCCCAGCCGGUAGGUCUCUAGACGUUACAGAGAACCCCGAACAACCCAAACUGUUAAUCUUCAAUACCCUUUUGUACUUACGAUCUUGUAUCCACUGACUGUCUUGUUAGAUUAACCCAAUAAAUUUCAUUCACUCCGCAUACUCAAUCCUAUAGACACCCUUUUAAUCCUUCAAUCACAGACGUAACUCGAUUUUACAAAACAGUCAAGAGUAUUCAAACCCACUUC
rnacentral:lncRNA from 1 species